CUGGUGCUGUCCUGUUGGGUGUUUGGGCUAGUGCUGUCCUGUUGGGUGUUUGGGCUAGUGCUGUCCUGUUGGGUGUUUGAGGAACAAUUCUGAGUGUGGAGCUGAGCUGAGCUGAGCUGAGCACACGGAACAAAGGCAUGCUUGGCAUUUCUCCUCUACUGUGUGCUGAACUGGUGGUCAGGCAGCUUCAGGGUUCCCAUCCAUGGCAGGCAGCCUCUCCAACCCUGAAUUCCAGCCUCCCCAUCCCUCCAAACCCUGAAUCGCUGUCCCUCCAGCCCUUGUGUCCCAUCAGCACUUUCAAUCCAUCAAUGUCUGAGGCAUGGGAGUCCAGAAAGCUGAAGACACGCCUGGACACUCAAACACUUCCCUCUCACACAUGGACAGAUAUCUAGAGAAAUGUUGGGUCAAGGCUGUGUUAACCUCAAAAGUGCAUAAUAAGAAGGUAGACACCAUGUGUGAUACUGGGGUAAUAGACAGAGUGGAUACUAGCUGAGUAUCCAUUCUACUCACUUCUAUAUUUUAAGUGCAUUUAUCAAAAUGUGGCUAAUGAAAAUGUGAAAAUGUGUGUUUUUAUAUCCACUGUGUUAGGCAAAUUA